GCGGAGGAAAAGAAACCAACAGGGAUUGCCCUAGUAACGGCGAGUGAAGCGGCAACAGCUCAAAUUUGAAAUCUGGCUUCGGCCCGAGUUGUAAUUUGCAGAGGAAGCUUUAGGCGCGGCACCUCCUGAGUCCCCUGGAACGGGGCGCCACAGAGGGUGAGAGCCCCGUAUAGUUGGAUGCCUAGCCUGUGUAAAGCUCCUUCGACGAGUCGAGUAGUUUGGGAAUGCUGCUCAAAAUGGGAGGUAAAUUUCUUCUAAAGCUAAAUACCGGCCAGAGACCGAUAGCGCACAAGUAGAGUGAUCGAAAGAUGAAAAGCACUUUGAAAAGAGGGUUAAAUAGCACGUGAAAUUGUUGAAAGGGAAGCGCUUGUGACCAGACUUGCGCCGGGCUGAUCAUCCGGUGUUCUCACCGGUGCACUCUGCCCGGCUCAGGCCAGCAUCGGUUCUCGCGGGGGGAUAAAGGCCCUGGGAACGUAGCUCCUCCGGGAGUGUUAUAGCCCGGGGCGGAAUGCCCUCGCGGGGACCGAGGUUCGCGCUCUGCAAGGAUGCUGGCGUAAUGGUCAUCAGCGACCCGUCUUGAAACACGGACCAAGGAGUCAAGGUUUUGCGCGAGUGUUUGGGUGUAAAACCCGCACGCGUAAUGAAAGUGAACGUAGGUGAGAGCUUCGGCGCAUCAUCGACCGAUCCUGAUGUUCUCGGAUGGAUUUGAGUAGGAGCGUUAAGCCUUGGACCCGAAAGAUGGUGAACUAUGCUUGGAUAGGGUGAAGCCAGAGGAAACUCUGGUGGAGGCUCGCAGCGGUUCUGACGUGCAAAUCGAUCGUCAAAUCUGAGCAUGGGGGCGAAAGACUAAUCGAACCAUCUAGUAGCUGGUUACCGCCGAAGUUCCCCUUCAGGA
rnacentral:rRNA from 1 species